rnacentral:tRNA from 1 species
GGAGACGUGGGUGAGUGGCUGAAACCAGCGGUUUGCUAAACCGCCGAGCGGGGUUUACUCGCUCCGAGGGUUCGAAUCCCUCCGUCUCCGCCA